UAGGGAAUCUUCGGCAAUGGGGGGAACCCUGACCGAGCAACGCCGCGUGAGUGAAGAAGGUUUUCGGAUCGUAAAGCUCUGUUGUUAAGGAAGAACGAGUGUGAGAAUGGAAAGUUCAUGCUGUGACGGUACUUAACCAGAAAGGGACGGCUAACUACGUGCCAGCAGCCGCGGUAAUACGUAGGUCCCGAGCGUUGUCCGGAUUUAUUGGGCGUAAAGCGAUCGCAGGCGGUUAGAAAAGUCUGAAGUGAAAGGCAGUGGCUCAACCAUUGUAGGCUUUGGAAACUGUUUAACUUGAGUGCAGAAGGGGAGAGUGGAAUUCCAUGUGUAGCGGUGAAAUGCGUAGAUAUAUGGAGGAACACCGGUGGCGAAAGCGGCUCUCUGGUCUGUAACUGACGCUGAGGCUCGAAAGCGUGGGGAGCGAACAGG
rnacentral:rRNA from 1 species